AUCUAAGUAGUUUAAUUAAAAUUUUAAUUUGUGGUGUUAAAGAUGUAUGUUUACCUUAGGUA
rnacentral:tRNA from 2 species